UACGAAGGGUGCAAACGUUGUUCGGAAUCAUUGGGCGUAAAGCGCGCGUAGGCGGACCUGCAAGUCGGGGGUGAAAGCCCGAGGCUCAACCUCGGAACUGCCUUCGAUACUGCGGGUCUCGAGUCCGGGAGGGGUGAGUGGAAUUCCUAGUGUAGAGGUGAAAUUCGUAGAUAUUAGGAAGAACACCAGUGGCGAAGGCGGCUCACUGGCCCGGUACUGACGCUGAGGCGCGAAAGCGUGGGGAGCAAACAGG
rnacentral:rRNA from 1 species